AUUGAACGCUGGCGGCAGGCCUAACACAUGCCAGUCGAACGAGUGGCGGACGGGUGAGUAAUGUCUGGGAAACUGACCGAUGGAGGGGGAUAACUCCUGGAAACGGUAGCUAAUACCGCAUACCAUCGGAUGUGCCCAGAUGGGAUUAGCUAGUAGGUGGGGUAACGGCUCACCUAGGCGACGAUCCCUAGCUGGUCUGAGAGGAUGACCAGGCAAAACGGAAAUGGGACACGGUCCCAGCUCCUACGGGAGGCAGCAGUGGGGAAUAUUGCACAAUGGGCGCAAGCCUGAUGCAGCCAUGCCGCGUGUAUGAAGAAGGCCUUCGGGUUGUAAAGUACUUUCAGCGAGGAGGCGUUACUCGCAGAAGAAGCACCGGCUAACUCCGUGCCAGCAGCCGCGGUAAUUC
rnacentral:rRNA from 1 species